UGGCGGACGGGUGGAGUAACGCGUGGGUAACCUGCCCCACUACAGGGGGAGUAACAGAUAGAAAUGUCUGCUAAUACCGCAUAAGACCACAGCACCGCAUGGUGCAGGGGUAAAAACUCCGGUGGUAUGGGAUGGACCCGCGUCUGAUUAGCUGGUUGGUGAGGUAACGGCUCACCAAGGCAACGAUCAGUAGCCGACCUGAGAGGGUGACCGGCCACAUUGGGACUGAGACACGGCCCAAACUCCUACGGGAGGCAGCAG
rnacentral:rRNA from 1 species